GGCAGCCAAGGGGGAAGGAGCCCUGCUGGAAUGAGCAAAAGAGAAGGGGCCAGACUGCAGCAAAUCAGCGACACCAUCCUUCCACCUCAGAUCCUGGGUUCUCUGGACAGAAAGUCAGUGCAAGGGAAAGUCUCCAUCAGCAAGUGUUGGCCACUUUCAAGAAGUUUCUCUAUCUAGUCAGACAAUAAAAACACAAGAGACUCACUGAGGCAGAUGGGCAUGCCCAGUGCAAAUGAAAUGCUUAGAGAACUGAAGCACUUCCAAC